GCACCCAAAGCAGCCGUCGUACCGUGGUGCGCUGGGGGUGGCCGUAGCGUUGGCACUAAGACCCGCGCGAACUUUCCAAACAGCACUGGCUGUUCAUUAAGAGCGUUGGGGUGUGAAAAUUGCUGGCAGUCAUUAAUUUGAGACCACAGACCAUGAGGUUUGGGAGGAGAGUUUCCACCACUCCCUCCUUUAAAUAAAUCGGUGGAUUGCCUCCCUCUGCUACCAGUCCUUAUUAAUUAGUCCUGCCCAAGGCACCAGUCAUGAUGUAAAGAAGCUGAGGACAAGGCAGGGACCUGUGCAACCUGCUUCCUACUGCUCGACAUCUCCUAGGGUUGUCUGCCUGUCCAAGGAAGGAGCAUAAAUUCCCAGCAGAUGUGACAAAUCACCCAGACCCACUGGCCAGGUAUCAAUGGCAGCAACAGGGAAUACCCACAACUUCAGGGGCAGGAAAAAACGACUGAGCUGACUUUUCAUGUGACUCCAAAUGGGAGGAUCAAAGUGUAUGUCCCAGCUACAAACCAGCUUCAGCUUACUGGAAAAUGGAUUGAAAUGAUCAUUAACCACAUGUUCCGGGCUUGCACUGUAUUCAGAAGGUUUGCUGUAACUCAAGCUAGAAAAAUAAAGUCCAGAGAGCUGAGAAAGGAAA